CAAGUCGAGCGGAAAGGUCUCUUCGGAGAUACUCGAGCGGCGGACGGCUGAGUAACACGUAGGAACGUACCCCAAAGUGAGGAAUAACUGCCCGAAAGGGUGGCUAAUGCCGCAUGUGAUCUUCGGAUUAAAGCUUUAUGCGCUUUGGGAGCGGCCUGCGUCCGAUUAGCUAGUUGGUAGAGUAAUAGCCUACCAAGGCGAUGAUCGGUAGCUGGUCUGAGAGGAUGAUCAGCCAGACUGGGACUGAGAACGGCCCAGACUCCUACGGGAGGCAGCAGUAGGGAAUUUUCCACAAUGGGCGAAAGCCUGAUGGAGCAACGCCGCGUGCAGGAUGAAUGCCUUCGGGUUGUAAACUGCUUUUAAUAGUGACGAUUAUGACGGUAACUAUUGAAUAAGGACCUGCUAACUACGUGCCAGCAGCCGCGGUCAUACGUAGGGUCCAAGCGUUAUCCGGAAUUACUGGGCGUAAAGAGUUGCGUAGGUGGCAUAGAAAGCGGAUAGUGAAAGUGUGUGGCUCAACCAUACAUCCAUUAUCUGAACUCCUAAGCUAGAAGAUGAGAGAGGUAGAUGGAAUUCCUGAUGUAGGGGUAAUAUCCGUAGAUAUCAGGAGGAACACCGAUGGCGUAGGCAGUCUACUGGCUCAUUCUUGACACUAAUGCACGAAAGCGUGGGGAGCAAACAGGAUUAGAUACCCUGGUAGUCCACGCCGUAAACUAUGGAUGCUAGCUGUAAGAGGUAUCGACCCCUCUUGUAGCGAAGCUAACGCGUUAAGCAUCCCGCCUGUGGAGUACGAGCGCAAGCUUAAAACAUAAAGGAAUUGACGGGGACCCGCACAAGCGGUGGA
rnacentral:rRNA from 1 species